ACUUCUGACCUGGCCACACAUCUGACACAUCUGAUCUCGGAAGCUAAGCACAAUUGGACCUGGAUGGGAGCUGACCUAGGAAUACUUGGGAGCUGUAUUAGGGUUAGAAGUA
ensembl:rRNA predicted gene, 27595